ACCACACGAAGCUGGAAUUGCUAGUAAUCGUGGAUCAGCAUGCCACGGUGAAUACGUUCCCGGGUCUUGUACACACCGCCCGUCACACCAUGGGAGCUGGUAACACCCGAAGUCAGUAGUCUAACCGCAAGGAGGACGCUGCCGAAGGUGGGAUUAGCGACUGGGGUGAAGUCGUAACAAGGUAAC
rnacentral:rRNA from 1 species